UUAUGGGGGGGCUGUGGGAGGGCUAUGGGGGGCUAUGGGGGGCUGUGGGGGGCUUUGGGGGGCUCUGGGGGGGCUGAGCCGUUCCCCAGCAUCCUCCCCCGUCGCCAUGGCAACGCCCCCGUUAGGCCCCGCCUCCCGCCCGGCGUGGCCACGCCCCCCGUUCCCAUGGCAACCACCCCGUUCCCAUAGCAACCCGCGGGGUUUUGAGGCCUCCUCUCUAUGGUCCGCGGCUAGAGCGGCUCCGGCGCCAUGGCAACGCGGCCUACCCUGGAGGACCGCGCGGCCUGCGGGCCCCGCCCGGCCCCGGUGUGCGGUGGUCACCGGGGCUACCGGGGCUACUAGGGUCACCGGGGCUACCAGGGGUACCAGGCUUACCGGGGCUACCGGGGUCACUGAGGCUACUGGGGUCACCAGGGCUACUGGGGUUACUGGGGCUACUGGGGUGACCGGGGUAACUGGGGUCGCCGGGGCUACCGGGGUUACCGGGGUUACCAGGGCUACCAGGGAUUCUGGGGUCACCGGGGCUACCAGAGUUACCAGGGUUACUGGGUCUACCGGAGUCACUGGUGUUACUGGGGCUACUGGGGUUACUGGGGCUGCUGAGGUCACUGGGGCUACCAGAGUCACUGGGGUCACUGGGGCUACUGGGGUUACCAGGGUGACCGGGGCUACCGGGGCUAGCAAGUCUACCGGGGUGACUGGGGCUACUGGGGUUACUGAGGUCACUGGGACUACUGGGGCUACUGGGGCUACCGGGGCUACCGGGGUCACUGGGGCAACUGGGGUUACUGGGGUUACUGGGGCUACUGGGGCUCCCAGUGUGUCCCCGGGGCAGGAGCCUUUGCAGUCGCAGCUCCUCACAGCCGGCUGCUGGCUGCCAGGUGCCGAGCUCAGACUCGGCGGGGAUUGGGAAAACUUCUCGCUUUUAAGGAAAAAAAUCCCCGUUUCUGUCAAAGGAAAGCGCCGGAGGGUGCGUGGCAUCAAAGGAGGCUUUGCAGAAAGCCCUGCCCAGCUGGUGUUUAUCAAUCUCGUGGUGUUAUCACUUAUCAGCUGCACGCAGAGCAUGGCACUGGCAGCGAACGGCUGCGGGGAAUCGGGGCUGGCGCUGCCGACGCCUCUUUUUGCCCCAAAUAGUGACAAAAGGCGAGUGCGGGAAGGGCCGAGCUGCGCGGACGAGCAGUGUCCCGGUCAUCAGGGUGAAGGGAUUGGGCGACAGAAACCCCCCGGCUGCCCAAAGGAGCAGGCUGCAGACACCCCAAAGCUGCAGAGGUGCCACGGACACCCCCCUGGUGCAGGGCAAGGUGACCGUGCUCAGCCCUGCUCCCUCCUGUGCCUCUGCGGUCCCGCAGCGAGGCUUCCCCCCGAACACCUCGUCCUCCUCUGACCCCGCGUUUUGAAAUGUUUUCCUGCUGACCUCAUCCGGCAGCCCCAUCCCCAUCCCCAUCCCCAUCCCAUCCCCAUCCCAUCCCCAUCCCAUCCCAUCCCCAUCCCCAUCCCCAUCCCCAUCCCCAUCCCC
rnacentral:lncRNA from 1 species